GCAGGCCUAACACAUGCAAGUCGAGGGGUAGUAAGUCUUCGGAUUUAUGAGACCGGCGCACGGGUGCGUAACGCGUAUGCAAUCUACCUUGUUUCAAAGGGAUAGCCCAGAGAAAUUUGGAUUAAUACCUUAUAGUAUUAUAAAAUGGCAUCAUUUAAUAAUUAAAGAUUUAUCGGAACAAGAUGAGCAUGCGUCCCAUUAGCUAGUUGGUAUGGUAACGGCAUACCAAGGCAAUGAUGGGUAGGGGUCCUGAGAGGGAGAUCCCCCACACUGGUACUGAGACACGGACCAGACUCCUACGGGAGGCAGCAGUGAGGAAUAUUGGACAAUGGGCGCAAGCCUGAUCCAGCCAUGCCGCGUGCAGGAAGACGGUCCUAUGGAUUGUAAACUGCUUUUAUACAGGAAGAAACAACUCUACGUGUAGAGUCUUGACGGUACUGUAGGAAUAAG
rnacentral:rRNA from 1 species